UACGGGGGGGGCAAGCGUUGUUCGGAAUUACUGGGCGUAAAGGGCUCGUAGGUGGCCAACUAAGUCAGACGUGAAAUCCCUCGGCUUAACCCGGGAACUGCGUCUGAUACUGGAUGGCUUGAGUUCGGGAGAGGGAUGCGGAAUUCCAGGUGUAGCGGUGAAAUGCGUAGAUAUCUGGAGGAACACCGGUGGCGAAGGCGGCAUCCUGGACCGACACUGACACUGAGGAGCGAAAGCCAGGGGAGCAAACGGG
rnacentral:rRNA from 1 species